rnacentral:rRNA from 1 species
AUUGAACGCUGGCGGCAGGCCUAACACAUGCAAGUCGAGCGGAUGAAGGGAGCUUGCUCCUGGAUUCAGCGGCGGACGGGUGAGUAAUGCCUAGGAAUCUGCCUGGUAGUGGGGGAUAACGUCCGGAAACGGGCGCUAAUACCGCAUACGUCCUGAGGGAGAAAGUGGGGGAUCUUCGGACCUCACGCUAUCAGAUGAGCCUAGGUCGGAUUAGCUAGUUGGUGGGGUAAAGGCCUACCAAGGCGACGAUCCGUAACUGGUCUGAGAGGAUGAUCAGUCAAACGGAAACUGAGACCCGGUCCAAACCCCAACGGGGGGGCGCAGUGGGAAAUUUUGGAAAAGGGGCGAAAGCCUGCCCCAGCCAUGCCGCGGGUGUAAAGAAGGUUUUCGGUUUGUAAAGCCCUUUAAGUUGGGAGAAAGGGCAGUAAGUUAAUACCUUGCUGUUUUGGCUUUACCAACAGAAUAAGCACCGGCAAAUUUCGU